AUUGAUUUUAUGCUUGCAUAAAUGAUUUUUUGGAUUCGGAGCGAGUGGCGAACUGGUGAGUAACACGUGGGUAACCUGCCCCGAAGCGGGGGAUAACAUUUGGAAACAAGUGCUAAUACCGCAUAAUUAGUUGGAACCGCAUGGUUCCAACUUGAAAGAUGGCUCUGCUAUCACUUUGGGAUGGACCCGCGCCGUAUUAGUUAGUUGGUGAGAUAAAAGCCCACCAAGACGAUGAUACGUAGCCGACCUGAGAGGGUAAUCGGCCACAUUGGGACUGAGACACGGCCCAGACUCCUACGGGAGGCAGCAGUAGGGAAUCUUCCACAAUGGACGAAAGUCUGAUGGAGCAACGCCGCGUGAGUGAUGAAGGUUUUCGGAUCGUAAAACUCUGUUGUUAAAGAAGAACAAGUGUUAGAGUAACUGUUAACACUUUGACGGUAUUUAACCAGAAAGCCACGGCUAACUACGUGCCAGCAGCCGCGGUAAUACGUAGGUGGCAAGCGUUGUCCGGAUUUAUUGGGCGUAAAGCGAGCGCAGGCGGUUUUGUAAGUCUGCUGUGAAAGCCCUCAGCUCAACUGAGGAAGUGCAGUGGAAACUACAAAACUUGAGUACAGAAGAGGAAAGUGGAACUCCAUGUGUAGCGGUGAAAUGCGUAGAUAUAUGGAAGAACACCAGUGGCGAAGGCGGCUUUCUGGUCUGUUACUGACGCUGAGGCUCGAAAGCAUGGGUAGCGAACAGGAUUAGAUACCCUGGUAGUCCAUGCCGUAAACGAUGAAUACUAGGUGUUGGAGGGUUUCCGCCCUUCAGUGCCGCAGCUAACGCAUUAAGUAUUCCGCCUGGGGAGUACGACCGCAAGGUUGAAACUCAAAGGAAUUGACGGGGGCCCGCACAAGUGGUGGAGCAUGUGGUUUAAUUCGAUGCUACGCGAAGAACCUUACCAGCUCUUGACAUCUUCUGCCAACCCAAGAGAUUGGGCGUUCCCUUCGGGGACAGAAUGACAGGUGGUGCAUGGUUGUCGUCAGCUCGUGUCGUGAGAUGUUGGGUUAAGUCCCGCAACGGGCGCAACCCUUAUUAUUAGUUGCCAGCAUUUAGUUGGGCACUCUAGUGAGACUGCCGGUGAUGAA
rnacentral:rRNA from 1 species